AAAAACAACAGAUGCCAUCUCAAGGAGAUUUUAUUGGCCAGGAAUGUCUGUGGACAUCAAGAAAUGGGUCUCUGAGUGCUCAUCCUGUCAGGCCAGUGCCCCAGCACUGAAACAGCCAUCAGAUUAUACUCCCAUAAAGGUUACCCAUCCCUUUGAAUUAAUUGGGAUGGACCUCAUUGGAAAACUGGCCGAAACAAAAUCUGGACACAAGUAUAUUUGUGUCAUGAUUGACUAUUUUACUAAGUGGCCACAGGCAUAUCCACUAAAGAGUAAAUCAGCACCUGA